rnacentral:rRNA from 1 species
AUGCGCGCAAGCCAAGGUCCUGGAGAGGGCCGAGGUCGGAGAGGUGGCCGUAGGGGAGGCCGGACAGGGGGGCGUUCAGGCAAUCGACGCGAGGCCGACAUGAACAACUUCCCAGCUCAUCAGGAGACGGGAAGGAGAGAGGAUGACAUGGUAGUGGACGGCAAAGGCAAAGAUGCUAAUAUGGAUGAUCUCACGAGGAAGAGGUUGGCUGGGCUGCCGCUGGAGGGUAAUGUGCACAACAACACAAAGGGUGAUGCUGCAGAUAAGCUGCAGAUAUGUAAAUGGUUCACACAAGGUUCAAGAACUAACCAAUGA